rnacentral:rRNA from 1 species
GGCAGCACGGGAGCAAUCCUGGUGGCGAGUGGCGAACGGGUGAGUAAUGUAUCGGAACGUGCCCGGUCGUGGGGGAUAACGCAGCGAAAGCUGUGCUAAUACCGCAUACGAUCUAUGGAUGAAAGCGGGGGAUCGCAAGACCUCGCGCGAUUGGAGCGGCCGAUAUCAGAUUAGCUAGUUGGUGGGGUAAAGGCUCACCAAGGCGACGAUCUGUAGCUGGUCUGAGAGGACGACCAGCCACACUGGAACUGAGACACGGUCCAGACUCCUACGGGAGGCAGCAGUGGGGAAUUUUGGACAAUGGGCGCAAGCCUGAUCCAGCAAUGCCGCGUGCAGGAUGAGGGCCUUCGGGUUGUAAACUGCUUUUGUACGGAGCGAAACGGUCUGCCAUAAUACGGUGGGCUAAUGACGGUACCGUAAGAAUAAGCACCGGCUAACUACGUGCCAGCAGCCGCGGUAAUACGUAGGGUGCAAGCGUUAAUCGGAAUUACUGGGCGUAAAGCGUGCGCAGGCGGUUAUGUAAGACAGAUGUGAAAUCCCCGGGCUCAACCUGGGACCUGCAUUUGUGACUGCAUAGCUAGAGUACGGUAGAGGGGGAUGGAAUUCCGCGUGUAGCAGUGAAAUGCGUAGAUAUGCGGAGGAACACCGAUGGCGAAGGCAAUCCC